ACUUUUUUCGCUUAGCUCAAAAUCCGAGAUUAAAAAGCAUGAUUUCCCAUAAAAAAUUUCUCUCCCACAAUCUGAGAUUAUAAAAUAAUCCUAGAUAAUAACGAUACUUUUUGGCAUACAACCCUGUGUUUUCUGUGUCAUCGAUAAUUAUUAUUACGAGUGUGAGGAGAAAUAUCAAAAUAAAAACUAGAUGAAAUGGACGCCGCCAAAGGAAAUUGCGAUAGCAUUGGUAUAGAGAGGCGGUCGAGUUUCUUUUGAAGUUGUGGGAAGAGAAGCUGCCGCAACUACGAGGCUACAAAAGAAAUACGCAUGUAUAUGCAGACAUGGCCGUGGAAAUAGCGACAAAAGGCUUUGUGUUCUCGUCAGGUGAUAAAUGAAUUAUUUUUAUUUAAGUUUGCAGAAGGAAUUGUUAGUACUUUAAGUAGGUUUAAUUAAUUUAAUAAUAAAAAACUUAGUUUAAAAAGAAAAAUGUGAAAUUUAAAAGGAAGAUAAAAACGAAGCGAUUGAUUCUCGAUUUUUUCUGCGCUGACGUUGUGGUCCUGAGUAUAGUACGUAGGCUCUGGUUGCUCUCGUUGAUUAACGAAUUCGAAAUUUGUUUGGCCUUGGAUCCAUUUGUUUUAAUGUUACCAUUAUGUUCAUUUACAAAAUUGUGCAAAAUACAGCAAUAUUUUAUUAUUGACGAUA